rnacentral:rRNA from 1 species
GACCUGCCGGACUGACUGCUAUCUGAUUGGUACUAAGCCAUGCGAGUCGUUGUACAAUACAAGGCGGACUGCUCAGUAACACGUAGUUAACUUAACCUAUGGAUGGGCAUAACCUCGGGAAACUGAGAAUAAUACCCAAUGGACCACAGUGCCUGGAAUGGCCUGUGGUUGAAAUGAUUUAUCGCCGUAGGAUAGGACUGCGGCCUAUCAGCUUGUUGGUGAGGUAAUGGCCCACCAAGGCUAUAACAGGUACGGGCUCUGAGAGGAGGGGCCCGGAGAUGGGUACUGAGACACGGACCCAGGCCCUAUGGGGCGCAGCAGGCGAGAAACCUUUGCAAUGUGCGAAAGCACGACAAGGUUAAUCCGAGUGUCUCCUGCUAAAGGAGUCUUUUGUCAGUUGUAGAAUCACUGGUGAAUAAGGGGUGGGCAAGUUCUGGUGUCAGCCGCCGCGGUAAAACCAGCACCUCGAGUGGUCAGGAGGUUUAUUGGGCCUAAAGCAUCCGUAGCCGGUUGCAUAAGUUUUCGGUUAAAUCUAUGCGCUUAACGUAUAGGCCGCCGAAAAUACUGUGCAGCUAGGGAGUGGGAGAGGUACACGGUACUCGAUAGGAAGGGGUAAAAUCCUUGAUCUAUUGAAGACAC